CAGAGUUCCUGUUGGAAAUAUGCCCCACACGGCUGGGGACUGUGGACGCCCUGCAGUCCCGAUGCAGACGAUCCGGGCCCCUGCCAGCGUCUUCUACACGCCUCUUCUGGGGGUUCCUUCUACGCCUGCUCUUGGAAACAGCUCACAUUCUCUGUCCCGUAACAUCUCUGCCACAUCCAAUUAGAAGCCACUUUCACACUUUUUUACUGUGUUCCCAACCAAGUAGCUGCCAGUUCUGACAUGGUCUCCUCCCUCCCUCCAGGGGAGUCUCGCCUCCUCUUAGAAACGGCUCUGGUGGGGGCACCAGGGUGGCUCAGUCAGUUAAGCGUCUGACUC